UAACGCGUUAAGUAGACCGCCUGGGGAGUACGGCCGCAAGGUUAAAACUCAAAUGAAUUGACGGGGGCCCGCACAAGCGGUGGAGCAUGUGGUUUAAUUCGAUGCAACGCGAAGAACCUUACCUGGUCUUGACAUCCACAGAACUUUCCAGAGAUGGAUUGGUGCCUUCGGGAACUGUGAGACAGGUGCUGCAUGGCUGUCGUCAGCUCGUGUUGUGAAAUGUUGGGUUAAGUCCCGCAACGAGCGCAACCCUUAUCCUUUGUUGCCAGCGAUUAGGUCGGGAACUCAAAGGAGACUGCCAGUGAUAAACUGGAGGAAGGUGGGGAUGACGUCAAGUCAUCAUGGCCCUUACGACCAGGGCUACACACGUGCUACAAUGGCGCAUACAAAGAGAAGCGACCUCGCGAGAGCAAGCGGACCUCAUAAAGUGCGUCGUAGUCCGGAUUGGAGUCUGCAACUCGACUCCAUGAAGUCGGAAUCGCUAGUAAUCGUGGAUCAGAAUGCCACGGUGAAUACGUUCCCGGGCCUUGUACACACCGCCCGUCACACCAUGGGAGUGGGUUGCAAAAGAAGUAGGUAGCUUAACCUUCGGGAGGGCGCUUACCACUUUGUGAUUCAUGACUGGGGUGAAGUCGUAACAAGGUAACCGUAGGGGAACCUGCGGUUGGA
rnacentral:rRNA from 1 species